rnacentral:tRNA from 1 species
GUGGUUCAAAUGGUUAAGCUUUCAGCUACUAACUGAAAGGUUGGUGGUUCGAGUCCACCC